GACGAACGCUGGCGGCGUGCCUAAUACAUGCAAGUAGAACGCUGAAGCUUGGUGCUUGCCCCGAGCGGAUGAGUUGCGAACGGGUGAGUAACGCGUAGGUAACCUGCCUGGUAGCGGGGGAUAACUAUUGGAAACGAUAGCUAAUACCGCAUAAUAGUAGAUGUUGCAUGACAUUUGCUUAAAAGGUGCAAUUGCAUCACUACCAGAUGGACCUGCGUUGUAUUAGCUAGUUGGUGAGGUAACGGCUCACCAAGGCAACGAUACAUAGCCGACCUGAGAGGGUGAUCGGCCACACUGGGACUGAGACACGGCCCAGACUCCUACGGGAGGCAGCAGUAGGGAAUCUUCGGCAAUGGACGGAAGUCUGACCGAGCAACGCCGCGUGAGUGAAGAAGGUUUUCGGAUCGUAAAGCUCUGUUGUAAGAGAAGAACGAGUGUGAGAGUGGAAAGUUCACACUGUGACGGUAUCUUAACAGAAAGGGACGGCUAACUACGUG
rnacentral:rRNA from 1 species